UCUCUUCCGCGUGCUCCUCCUCUUGCCGUGCUCGCGCUGCUCCUGCUCCCAAAACCCGACGCCACCUCCCCGUCGCCGCUCGCCUGCGGCGCCGCGGCCUCGACGCCGCAUCCCCAACCGACUACUCCCCGCCGCGGCGCCGCCACUCUCCCUCCGCGCCAGCCGCCUGCGCGCCCCUCUCUCCGCCUCCGCGCCCUACGCGCCCUCCCUCCCUCCUCGUGCCACCCGGGGAGGUAGCUCGGCCGCUUUCCCGCGAUGCUGCAGUGGACGGGAGGCUCCAUGAGGCAGGUGUAUGCCUCCAGGAAAUCGACACAGAGCAGGUAACCUUGUUAGGCUCACCGAUUUCAAGCUGUGAAAGUUGCUUCGGCACAGUUAGUGUUCUCAUGUCGCUGUGACUGACUAUCGGAACAAGCAUGGUGGGCAGGCAGAGGUAGUACUUUGAACAAAAGAAGCGGCAGCAGCAGACGGCAGGGCUGCAGAACCAGGAUGGCACAGAUGGCGCAGGCGGCCAAGCUGUUGGUGAUCAGGCACCUCGAUCGCUUGACAUCCUAAGCCUGAACAAUUCGGCAGCUCCAGUCAGUCACCGCAAUGGCCCUGAAAAUGCAGGUAGUUUUCUUCCAAAUUUGGACAACGCAAGUUUUUGUGCUUCCCCUCUAGAGGCGCUGAAGAAGAUCACUUCUUCAUAUAAUAUUGAUCCGAAGGAAACAAGUAAGAGUACAGCUAUAUGUAUAUCAGAUGAGGGAAUUCAUUAUGCUUUUCUUGUUAUAUUGUAUUUGCAUGCUUAGCACAGAUAUAUUAACAAGAUCAAUGGCAUCCACAAAUCUGGG